GUGUCAGCCGCCGCGGUAAUACGUAGGGUGCAAGCGUUAAUCGGAAUUACUGGGCGUAAAGCGUGCGCAGGCGGUUAUGCAAGACAGAUGUGAAAUCCCCGGGCUCAACCUGGGAACUGCAUUUGUGACUGCAUGACUUGAGUACGGUAGAGGGGGAUGGAAUUCCGCGUGUAGCAGUGAAAUGCGUAGAUAUGCGGAGGAACACCGAUGGCGAAGGCAAUCCCCUGGACCUGUACUGACGCUCAUGCACGAAAGCGUGGGGAGCAAACAGGAUUAGAAACCCGUGUAGUCC
rnacentral:rRNA from 1 species